AUACGGAGGAUCCGAGCGUUAUCCGGAUUUAUUGGGUUUAAAGGGUGCGCAGGCGGCCAUUUAAGUCAGCGGUUAAAUCGUGGGGCUCAACCCCAUUCUGCCGUUGAUACUGGGUGGCUUGAUUGCGGUCGAGGUUGGCGGAAUUCGUUGUGUAGCGGUGAAAUGCAUAGAUAUGACGAAGAACACCGAUUGCGUAGGCAGCUGACCAGACCGCAAAUGACGCUCAUGCACGAAAGUGCGGGGAUCGAACAGGAUUAGAUACCCUGGUAGUCCGCACAGUAAACGAUGAAUACUUGUUUUCGGCGAUAUAAUGUCGGAGGCAAAGCGAAAGCGAUAAGUAUUCCACCUGGGGAGUUCGCCGGCAACGGUGAAACUCAAAUGAAUUGACGGGG
rnacentral:rRNA from 1 species